GCGAGUUAGGUUGACGGGCGGAGCGGCUAAGAUGGCGGCGGCGGCGGCGGCGGAGACGGUGUCGGGGCGAGCGGUGACGAUAUGAAGAGAAGGAGUGGAUAACCGGCGGGCCGCUUCGUGUCUGCAAAUAACGACAAUAAAAUAAUAUUACUAAGAAGAAAAAGGAGGAGGAGGAGGAUCCCUCGGGGUUUUUUUUUCUCUUCAUCCCCCCCCACCCCUCCCCAGCCAAGUUUUUUAAAAAUAUAUAUAUAUUUUAAAUAAUUGAAAUAAGACAGUUACCAAGAAAAUAUAAAUGAUGAAAUUAAAGCAAGACCAGACUCGGACUUACGAUGGGGACGGUUACAAGAAGCGGGCGGCGUGUUUGUGCUUCAAGAACGAGAGUGAGGAGGAGGCACAUCUAAAAUUCAUGACUGCCACUUUACAAAAAAAUGAAGAAAACACAAUCAAGCAUGCAUUCAAAAUGAUGGACCUAGCUCUGUUGGGUGCAGUAGGCUAAGUUCUCUUGGUCAGCAGCAGUCGUCACCCAGACAAGUGGAUUGUGCCGGGCGGUGGCAUGGAACCUGAUGAGGAACCGAGUGUGGCAGCUGUCCGAGAAGUCUGUGAAGAAGCUGGAGUCAAAGGGACGUUAGGAAGAUUAGUAGGAAUAUUUGAGAAUCAAGACAGAAAGCAUAGAACAUAUGUGUAUGUUCUGGUAAUAACAGAAGUGUUAGAAGAUUGGGAGGAUUCGGUAAAUAUUGGGAGAAAAAGGGAAUGGUUUAAAAUAGAUGAUGCCAUUAAAGUUCUUCAGUGUCAUAAACCUGUACAGGCCUCAUACUUUGAAACCUUCAAACAAGGCUAUUUGGCAAAUAAUGGAACUCCUGUUGUUGCAACGUUAUCUGAAGAUAAGGCCUCAACAUAUGCUGUUGCCAAUCAAAGUUCAGUAUCCAGUAUUAGAUGACUGAGAAGAGCUUCACAGUAAUUGACUCAUCUCCAUCAAGCCCCAAAGGCAUGGACUUGAAAGGUGUUCAGUGAAAGAAUGUUUGAUCUGGUUUGAUUGCUACUAUACAUUGUAUAUGUAUAAAUAAAUUUUGCAUGAAGACCUGUGCAAUGUUGAUAACAAUACUUUAUAUUGUGAUGUAUAAUAUAGUGCUGAAGAUCAAAGCCAUAACUAGUAAGGUUUUUUUGUUAGAUAUUGUAUAUUUUUGAUAGAAUUGUGAAAUUAAGGUACCAGUGUUGCAUCCAAUUGUCUCCCUGGUAUUUUCCUUUGGAAUUCUUAAUUGUAAGGUGGCUUGGAUUUCAACCUAGGGAUAUUUGGAUGCCAAUUCUAGUUCUCUGCAACUUUUUGUAUACAGCUUUUGUAAAUUUUUGGCUGGCUUAUCACAUGCACCACUGCUGUUUACGGAAAAAAAAGGCAAAGAAACAGUUGAUCACUGACUUGUAAUACUUUGUGGAAUAACCUACAAGACACGCAUAAUACCUUUGUUAACUUGUACACAAGUUGUUGAAUAAGGCCUUUAAAACAUUUUUACUUAUGUACAACUACUUCAAGCCAUGCAUAUUGGGUCUUGUCAUCUGUGGAGCAUUGAAUUAUAUUCAAUUUUGCAGAAUACAUUUGUAUCUUUGACUCUUUCUCCUGAUCUGUGCUGUUCUCAUUGUUCUACACUGGAGUUAAAGGAUGCUCUUUGCAGGUAAUUCAAGAUAUAAACAAACUUGAGAAUUUGGUGUUUUGAAUUUUUUGAUUGUUUUUGUUAUUCUUGCAAUUUAAAAAUGACACUGUAUACUGCUUAAGCACUUAAACCGAUUGACUUUGUCUUCAAGUUCCUACUUUUGACAAAUGCAGAACAAAUUGCCCUACAUUUCUCUUUUUAAAAUAUAAGCAAGGUAAUUUUUUUUUCUCUGAGAAAUGUAGUCCUGUUUCUUUUGAAAUAAGUGCUCUAUAUUGAUCACUUUAAAAUUUGAUUUCUUUUAGGUUUUAUAUUUAAGUCAUGAAUAUAGAAACCCAGAAUUUCUUAAAGAUUAUCAUAGAAUGUUAUCCUGGUGUACAGUGUGGUGACUUAAACUGUUUGUAUCUUGUAGGCACAUACGAGAAAGGUACAUUGCUGGAGAAAAUAUCCACUUGUCAAUUUUGGAUGGGCUGCUUUCUUUUAAGAAAGACUCGUGGGUCAAAGUUAGGCUUGUCCUAUCAUCUGCCCCAGAUUCAGAGCGGUGUAAAUAUGCAUUCAUUACUUUUUUGCAUCCUUUCCCAAUCGCAUUCUUUUAACAUGUUGAAAGAAGAUUUGAAAGUUUAAAACCUUUUUACACAGGGUGACAAAGUAACCCAAUCCUCAGUCAAUGGUGAGGAUUUAAACAAAGUGGAGUAGCAUGCAUGAAUGAGUUUUCAGAGAAGCAUUGCCCUAUUCUCUAGUGUUCUUUAAAAGUGACAGGUGUCAUCAACUGCUUUAUUCUGCUUAAGUACAACCUGAAAAUGUGAGAAAUUAAGUUUCAGUCAAAGUAAAAUUGAAUAGUGAAUUAUACUUCUGACGAGCAAAUAUGAAAAUCUUGUUAAUAUGUAAAAAAAAGUGAAGAAACCAAUGGAAUCAGUUGAUUAUGACCACUUAAUGUUUUCAGCUUUUACCUGCAAUUAAUGCACUGUACAUAAAUGUGUCAUUUUUGGUGCUUUCCUGUAAAGCCUUAGAUGGAAGGGAUAAGUGCUGGCUUUUACAAUAGCCUGUAUUUGUAAGAACAUAGGGCAUGUUAUCCUGUCCUUCAUAUUUUAAUGCAACCUUUAUACUUCACCCGGAGAGAGUGUCACUGGAAAUGUCUUGUUGUUUUACCUGAUUUGAGUGUGAUGAUACACAUGUGAGGCAAGAGAUUGAAGAUUGUAAUAAACCUGUGCCAACGAAUAAAACUCACCAGUAUUUCAGAAA